AAACUUAAUUAAUAAAUUAAAACUUUUAACAACGGAUCUCUUGGUUCUGGCAUCG
rnacentral:rRNA from 1 species